UAUAGAUGUCAGUGAUCAGACCGGUGUAUCGUUCUGGCAACUCUGGUUCUCGGUUUUAGUGUAGUGUUUAGUGGUGUGCAUAUACCGAUUGUCAUAUUGUAGUGUUCAUAUUCUCGUGUGAUAACGUCUAAUUAAGAAGACAAAUAUGUCUCUUCUAUACUAUUUACCGCCCGAAAUAUUGCUAAUAAUUUUCGAUUUAUGUGAUAUAUAUACUUUACUACAGCUCAGAAGAGUAUGCAAAAAUUUUGAUGUAAUAUCAACAGAGAUCUUAAAUAAAAAAAGUAACCAUUUGCUUGCUACGAAUCAGAUAUCGAAAAAAUUUCGUGAACGAUGUAAACCACUAUUAUCUACGUAUAGAUCUAAAUUUGUUACGCAUUACAACUGGCAAUGGGAAAGAUUUGGAAAAAAGAACAUUUUUCCAUUACAAACAAAUUUCAUAAAAAGAAUUGAGAGGCAUGACAAUGAACGAAAAUUGUCUAAAAAUGACUAGAAAUACAAUUUGGCUUUAUGACAAAAAUAAACUUCUAGCUUUUAAUCGUGCAAAGAACGGUAACAUUAGCCGUAAAAACGUGAUUCGUGCAACUUGUGACCGUCAAUUUUCAAGCAUUGCUUAUUGCAAUGAUAUAAUUAUAAGCGGCCACGUAGAUGGUAGUAUUAGACAUUGGAGAAUUGAAUCGCGGAAUAACAUUAAUAAUAUUCAACAAUUAAAAGUACAUUCCAAUGUAUAUGAUGAAUACGUUUCGAACAUAGAAGUAACCUCGCAACAUAUUAUAUCAAGUUCUUCAAAUUUAAUAAAACUACAAAAAAAUACAUUUGAAAAUAAUGCGGAAGAAAAGGAAACAAUUUAUUGGAAAGGCAGGAAAUUAAUUCGGUCAAUUUCAUUAAACCCUACAGAAACAAAAGUUGCUGCUAGUGCCGAACAAUGGUUUCUAAUUUAUGAUAUUAACAAAAAUUGUCAGGUAAUGGAUAAAUGUAUAGAUGGUAAUACAUGUUACCAACUACUAUGGCAAGAUACUCACACUAUUCUCAUGCUGUAUGAAUCAUAUAUUAAACAAAUGGAUACAAGAACAUCCAAAUUUGUACGUACAUGGGAUGCUUCUGUCCUAGAUAACAUAUGGUGUGAUUUAAGUAGGAAUUUAUUAAGUCUCCGUUCAGAUUAUUUGUAUACUUUUAUGACAGGGACGGAAGAUAAUACAGUAAUUCUAUGGGAUCAAAGAUUAAACGUUUUGUAUAAAUUCUGAUAUUAAUUCUCGAUCCUGUAUUUUUUGUGGAAUUUGAUAGCACCCAUAUAUAUGCUAUUACAAAUCAACUUGGUGUGGUUGAACUUGAUUUUCAGCUAGGCUAUUAUAGCGCUUCAAGGACGUAUUUUAGGACGUAUUUUAGCCAAUUUACUUAAAUAAAAAAAGUUGAUUAACAAUUUUUCUUCUAUUAUACUUUGAUUGUUUACAUAAAUUAUAUA
rnacentral:misc_RNA from 1 species